GACGAACGCUGGCGGCGUGCUUAACACAUGCCAGUCGAACGGAAAGGCCCUGCUUUUGUGGGGUGCUCGAGUGGCGAACGGGUGAGUAACACGUGAGUAACCUGCCCUUGACUUUGGGAUAACUUCAGGAAACUGGGGCUAAUACCGGAUAGGAUCUCCUGCUGCAUGGUGGGGGUUGGAAAGUUUCGGCGGGUGGGGAUGGACUCGCGGCUUAUCAGCUUGUUGGUGGGGUAGUGGCUUACCAAGGCUUUGACGGGUAGCCGGCCUGAGAGGGUGACCGGCCACAUUGGGACUGAGAUACGGCCCAGACUCCUACGGGAGGCAGCAGUGGGGAAUAUUGCACAAUGGGCGGAAGCCUGAUGCAGCAACGCCGCGUGCGGGAUGACGGCCUUCGGGUUGUAAACCGCUUUCGCCUGUGACGAAGCGUGAGUGACGGUAAUGGGUAAAGAAGCACCGGCUAACUACGUG
rnacentral:rRNA from 1 species